CAGAAAUCCCAAUUAAGCAAGAGCUCAGCACGACUGGGCGAGAAGACCAAUGGGUAGUCAUACUCGUUGAUCGAUAAUCCUCACAGCCUGACCAACUGUGGGGAAUGAGCUUUUAUAGCGAGCUCAGGGGUGUUUGCGUGACACGGCACGCAUUCACUGUGAAGAGAGAAAAAGCGAAAAAAAGAGCUACCCUAAAGCUCAUGAAAAUGGUUUGAUCGCGUAUCCCGGCGCUUUCUUCCAUAUAUAUAAAGCAUUGCACAAAUAAUGAGUUUUGAGCUGGGGCUCAUUAGUGCACAUUACGAUUGCAUGGUUGUGGCAACCGGUGAUCGUUAACUGCAGCUUUGUCUGCCUACGGUGGAGCGAUCCAGUUCUGCCUUUCGCCUGUGCCUGGUACAUUCGUGUACCUACGCACAGUUCUGGUUGUGACAGGGUGCCUACCCGUCUGAUGCUCUUUGUUAUGCUUGCCGUCUGUAGAUGGUCAGUCCAUAUCASGAGUGACGGGAUGUGCUGUCAAAAUUGGCAGUGCUAGGCUUAAUGAGUGGUUCGACAUAACGAGCUACGGCUCAGCCACCGCCCUGUUUGCUGUUUGUUGCAACAAAAUCCCAUAUUACACUGUUCAAGUGGUUCAGAUCGGACAUUGCUCACCCAACCGGUUUGAAUCAUUGCCCGAC
rnacentral:misc_RNA from 1 species